rnacentral:rRNA from 1 species
AACGUAGGAGGCGAGCGUUAUCCGGAUUUACUGGGCGUAAAGCGUGUGUAGGCGGUUCGGCAAGUUGGAUGUGAAAGCUCCUGGCUUAACUAGGAGAGGUCGUUCAAUACUACCGAACUUGAGGGUAUCAGAGGAAGGUGGAAUUCCCGGUGUAGUGGUGAAAUGCGUAGAUAUCGGGAGGAACACCAGUGGCGAAAGCGGCCUUCUGGGAUGCUCCUGACGCUCAGACACGAAAGCUAGGGUAGCGAACGGG